ACGCAUCGUGACCCCUCCACUUACCUGGGAGCUUACCUGGUCAACUCGGUUCAUUGGACCGGAUUGGAGGCUUAGGUGUCCUCUUCAAACCAGUUAGGAGCUGUCUAGAAAUUUAAGAAAAACAUUAGAAAUUGAGGUGUGAUGUUUUGUUGCAUGUUUGAUUGUGAAUAAAAUUUUUAUUUUAGGAUAUCGUUUUAGGGUAACUUUAGUUGGUACUUAUAUUUAUUUUUUAUUUUCUUUUAUUUUUUUAAAAAAAAGAA
rnacentral:lncRNA from 1 species